rnacentral:lncRNA from 1 species
AGGGAGAGAGAGAGAGUAGAAAAAAAGGGAGAAAGAGUAAGACACUUUAAAAAAAUAAAUAAGAAUAAAAGCCAUCUUAUUAGUUCAUGGUUCCAUAUUUAUUACACUGAUUUUUUUUUUUUUUUUUUUUUGCUGCAAAAAGCUUUAUUGUUUUCAUUUGGUCCAGGCUUGGGCAGAGGGCUCCAGGCUAGUUAAAAAGCUAUCUCUAGUGGCUGCAGGGAGAGGCUCAGUCAGAAGCUCUGACACCAGGGGGAUGCCAAAGGGGCCCUCUCAAAGGCCUCUGGACUCUGGAGCCUCCUAGUCAUGCUUGAGGGUGAGCCUUUCAAAGAGAUACUCACCCAGCCCAGCUUGGGAGCCAACGAGCCUCUGGAUGUUGGUCAGAUGGUCGCCCAUCUUCUUGAUGAGUUUCACCUCCUCGUCCAGGAAGUGGCUCUCCAAGAAGUCACAGAGAUGGGGGUCUGCCUGGGCAGAACCCAGGGCAUGCAGAUCCAAAAGGGCCUGGUUCAGGCUCUUCUCCAGGACAAUGGCGGCUUUCAUGGCAUCCAGGGUUGUACCCCACUCAUCCUGGGACGCUUCUGCAAGUCCUGGAAGAGCCGCAUCGUCGCGGUCGAAAUAGAAGCCCAGAGAGAGGUAGGUGUAGGAGGCCCGCUGGUACAGGUUGACCAGGCGGUUGACGGCGGCCUCCACUUCGGUAGAAUAAUUCUGACGAAUCUGGGAGCUCAUGGUUGAUCGGCAGUAAGGAGCUGAGCUCAAAGAAACGGUGUUGGUGGAUCCCGCCGGAGGUAGAGGAAGGGUUGAGAAGUUGGUCCGAAGGCUGAGACUGGAAAAGAGGUUGGAGGGUGGUCGGAGGCUGGAAGAAGAGGAGUCCCAGGGGUCUGUUCCGUCCAAACACUGUUGAAGUAAGAGAUCCGCCGGACGCCCAGCGCACUGCCUGUUACAGUGAUUUUUUGAUCCCUGAUCUGUUUACCCUGAUGUUUAUUCCCUUAGUUCCCAUUUCUCUC